AUGACCAUACUUGAACAGGAUAUGUUAUAAGCUCUUACAAGUGUCUCUGUGUUCUACAAUGACAAGAACCUAAGCCUAAUUGAUGAACCACGUCUGUUUCACUCUAAGGUCCAAUUGUAUUGCAAUGGUUGUUCUAGGUUGUUAAGGUAGUAACCUUGAUUUCCACCAGAGUUGUGGAAUAAGAGGGAAUAGAUUUCUCGAUAGCA
rnacentral:snoRNA from 1 species